rnacentral:rRNA from 1 species
AUACAGAGGGUGCAAGCGUUAAUCGGAAUUACUGGGCGUAAAGCGCGCGUAGGCGGUUAGAUAAGUCGGAUGUGAAAUCCCUGGGCUCAACCUGGGAACUGCAUUCGAUACUGUCUAACUAGAGUAUGGUAGAGGGAAGUGGAAUUCCGGGUGUAGCGGUGAAAUGCGUAGAUAUCCGGAGGAACAUCAGUGGCGAAGGCGACUUCCUGGACCAAUACUGACGCUGAGGUGCGAAAGCGUGGGGAGCAAACAGGAUUAGAAACCCUAGUAGUCC